rnacentral:misc_RNA from 1 species
GAUGGGAAGUUCAUUUUAUGUUAAUCAAAUUCUGUUAUUGUGUCAGCAUUUAUUAAUCCGGAAAACUAUGAUCUUGUCCUUAAUAAAACCUGGCCAAAUUUUAGCUACUUCAAGUUCUACAGAUAUCGUUAUUCACAGAACUCCCAAAAUGGAAUAGCAAGACCGCUUAGGAUUGUUUGGAUCUACUCCUCUGUAAAAUUUCUUAUGCUGAAUAUAUGCACAUCUUCUCCAAAGUGGUGGGGAUGCAGAAUUGCCAUUUUUUUGAAACUUUUAUACUUGUGGCUACUUCUUAUGCUUGAUUUUUUUUUUUUCCAUCUCUUCUAGAUGUCUUGCUCUGUACCUUUCCACCUCCAAGUUCUUAAUGAAGCUAAGAUGACAAAAACAGGAACCAAGUACACUGAUUCUCUACAGCGUCCAUAAAUAAUCCAAAUGGCAGACACAUCUGUUUUAUUGGAUUGAAUAUCUAACAGAAAACAUUAUCACUUGAAUUUUUAGACGGAGAUGCUAGUAGGAACUCCCUUCCCUGUGCAACCCCCGCAUGAACUAUAAAUUAAUGCAGUACCUUUUGAUCAAGUCAGCCGGCAAAGCUUCUUUAUCAAAACGCCAAAGCUUGUCAGAAACAGCAGAGCUCAGCUCCAUGGAGUAUUUGCCAGGAACAAAAGUGCUAUCUAUGAUUCCACCUCCGUUGAUGAGCUGUCCUCGAGCAAAAGCAUUGAUUUCCAUUGUGAAUCGGAAAUGGGGAUGUAAAAGUCUAUAGAUAGGGUGCAUUGCACUAAGUUGUCUAGGAGCUGCAAUUAUGUAUGGCUCUACACAGCAGUGUGUCCUCAGCCUGAAAACAAAAAAAAGAAAAGUAGAACUCAUAAUCGUGAGAGUUAGGCUUUCGGGUUGGAUCUAGUGUUUCUUAAAUGACUUCAAUGGUCAUAAGAUCCUGUGGAAUAUUUACCAGUGAGAGAUAAGUUGGUGGAUGCCAGAGUCAUGAGCUAAAACAUGUGCUUUAGCCAACCUCCACAGCCAACAAACUGUGGCAUCAUCAUAUCUUGGUGUAAACACUUGCUUCCAUUGUGGCUUGUCGCCGAUCUGUGGGCGAGUGAGUUCAAUUGCUACAGGCUUCAAUGUACUUCCAUUAACGAGGAAGAAGAGAGUCCUGGAACCAUAUAACGUGGUGCCUUCAAGCUUCCUUACUUUGGCCACAUAUGGCAAUUGCAAAUCGUGUUAAUCCAACAUAAAUAGCCUCUUCUGCUUUAAAGCCUACAUAUUAUAAACCCAAACUUCAAGGAGUUGUUUUGGUGCAAAACAAGAAAUUAUUUCUUGGAUUUACCUCUUGAACAGUCAUGAAGCAUCCAAUUUCCAUUUCGACUAUUUGUUUUGUAACACCCCAAAAUUUUUAAUUUUAUGAGCAUUUUUAGUAUUUUAAUUUUAUUAAAUUUUUGGAAUUUUUUUGAGAUUUUUCGGA